UUCAGUACGUUUGCUUACUGAGUCAAGCAUAGCGGACACAACAACUACAACUACAUUACAGUGGUAAAUAGCACUGCGUCUGAUCUCAUAACGUUCGUAUUCAGGUGUGCCACAUGUAACCUUACAUGAUUAAUGGAUACGUAAACAUCAAGAAUCGUCGAAAAUAGUUUUAGUAUUUAUUCGUUGUUAAUACCCCUCACAAAUGUCUGUGGUAGUUACGUGUUUGUGGCUGUUACUUGUUACUUAUAUGGCAGUGGGAGAAUACGUCGGCACAGAUCCAACAUCCGGGAAGGAAUGGAGACAGCGCGUGAAAAGAUCAACAGCUGAUGUAAAAGCUAAAGGUAACGGCAACAAAGGGAAAGUUAUAAUACUAAUAUCGGACAUGCUUUGCUCCAGUUGUUUGCGGCUACGUUACAUAAAGGCAAAAAGAAAAUGCUGUCAGCGAUAUUGUUCCAGAUCACGAGAACAAUGCAUUCGGCCCAACAGAUUCAGACCGGGUUAAAUGGCUGUCAUCCGCUCUGAUCAUCUGAUAUUAACAUCUCAAUAAUAUUUUCAUUUGAAGCUUUAUCAAAAUAUUUUGCAAUGAACACGUUUGUGUAACUAAUCAUAAUUUCAGAAAUGGAUUUUAAAUUCAUGUAUGUUCAUAAUAAUACUAUUGUAGAGUAUAGAGAAGCAUUAUAUAUUGGAAGGGGAGUGGAUGGUUAUACAAUUAUAUCAUGUCCCAUGUCAUUCAGAUACGUGCAAAGUGAAUGUGAUUUAUACAUCCUGGAAUAGUUGAUGUGGUUUGUUGUUAUUUAUGUAUAUGUAUUGACCUAUACAAGUAAAAAUUGCAUAAUUUAUCUUACUUAGGAAUUCACACACACAUGCUUUUUCAUCAUACCCACACUUUACGCUGAAAAGGUUACAGAUGACAGGAAUUAAGAAUGAUGAAUGGCCUAAUGUUGUUAUCGUCCGCUGUAAUUUGUCAUAGAACAUUCAUGAGUAAAACAUUCAAUUAAAUGAAGACAUUUAUAUUCAAUGGCGUCAACAUUCUGGUUCAAUCUUUAGGUGUCGCCUGCACUGAUUAGUCGACUUUCACUUGCUCGUAACUGGCUUUCGUAUACUCCUAACUGACGUUCGCUUGCUUAUUGACUUUUGUUUGUUCAUAACUGAAUUUCAUUAUUUAGCUCACAUGGUGCGGCGCCCGUCAGUUUUCCCCUUUAAACAGCUUCUUAAUAACCGUGCGACACAUAUAGCUGAUAUUGGUCAUGUGGCAUGCUUGGAUAAAGGGCUACCAAGCUUGUUUAAAUAAAUGACCUUGACUUACAUUCAUGUUCACAGGUGUCAAAUAGGCUAAAAUCUUUCAAAAGAAAUUAAUGACCUUUAUCUACAUUCAAUGUCAAAGGUGGAAAUAGGCUAAAAUCUUUCAAUGGCUUCUUCUAAAUUACCAAGAUACCAAUGGACUUGAUAUUCGGUGUAAUGCAUAUCGGAAUAAAGGGCUACCCAGUGUGUUCAAAUGAAUUGACUUACAUUCAAGGUCACAGGGGUUAAAUAGGUUUAAAUAUUUAAACAACUCCUUCUCUAUCAGUAAGAGGCCAAGAGACCCGAUAUUCGGCCAGAGUAUGCCCGGGCAAAGCGCUACCAAGUUUGUUCAAAUGAAUGACCUGACCUACAUUAAAGGUCACAGUGGUCAAAUAGGCUAAAAUCUUUACACGACAUCUUCUCACUAACAAAGAGGACCAGGAAUUUGAUAUUGAGUCUGUGGCAUGCUCGGGUAAAGGGCUACAACAUUACAUGGGCCAAUUAUGCUAAAGUCUUUAAGAGACUUCAUGUCAAUAACUGUGAGGCCCAGAGACUUAAUGUUGGGAUUUAAGUCUGCUUUUGUGAAGGGCUACCAAGUUUGCUUAACUGAAUGUCCCUGACCUACAUUCAAGGUCACAGGGGUCAACUAAAAUAAAAUAUUUAAACAAUGAUUUUUCGAUAGUCAAUGGACUCAGAUACCUAAUAUUAUGCCAAGCUGGAAUAUAGUAGUAAAAAUGGUUUGAUAUGAAUAGACCUAACCUACUCUGAUAUUUGAAUAAAAUGUUAUCAUUAGCAAGUUUCGUUUGGUCUUAAAGAUCAUUAGUAACUCAUUUCGUUUGCAUAUGAUACUUUCGAUUUCAAACCCAGUACGAACAUCAAUAUCAUUUUUAUUUCUGAUCUCCAUCGAUAUUCUAUACACGAACAGAUACUUGUACACAGACGCGGACAUGUACACGUACGCACAGGGGGUAGGCGCGGACCUAUGUCACACCCGUCCCACGGCUACAUAUCCUUGACAAGGCAAUGAACUCGCCGGAACGUGAAAAACGACCUAUUUUCUGUCAGAGUUCAUUUUUUCUACUAAAUACCAUCAGAUUUUAAUCAUGCAUGGCUCGUUUCAAUGAUGAUACAUUUAUCUAUCUGUCGAUACCAAAUACUUGGUGCUGAAAGACCACAGUUGUGUAUAAGGAUACCUAGAAUGUCAAGUUUGGCCUAAAAAAUGCUAGGUAGACAUUUACUGGUCCGUACGGUUAUCUGCCUCCGGUCUAAUCGACACAUCUUUAUUCUCAUGGACAGUUGUAAAAACAGCUUUAUAGAUCCGUCACAAAUAUAAAAACCUGCUAUCCUACCUUAAAGUGUGACGUUCACAGUUAUUGUCAUGCCAUUAAUCCGAGGUUAAAAUCGCGAUUCACAGGAGAUGGCAUUUUUUUUGUAUUCUACUUAGAAGUUAUUGACCAAUCAGCGAGGGCGUAUCAUAUAGCAUUCAGAUAAACGGACAUAGAUACGAAAAUGUACAUAUACCCGGACAUGUAUACGUACGCGGUCAUAUACAUGUAAAAGGACACAAAUACGGGCAAGACCAGACACGUACAUGAACACGUGCAUGAACACAGACAAGGACACGUACGCGAACAGACACGGACAUGCUUUUAUACGUGGCACAAAAACUGACAUCCACACAUGCGCAGACACAGACAAGGAUGUGUACAGGUACACGGACACAGUAGUCCGGCAGAAAGGUGCAUGGAUCAGUAGAUUUGUUGGUUUUGUAGUAAAAGAAUGAAACGUUGUAUAUAAGUAGGGCAUCAUAAUCUGAAUAAAUUUAGAUAUGGGGCCAAGCAUUUUUUCAAGAUGGCCGUCAAGUCCAAGAUGGCUGUCAGAUUUCUGAAUACUAUAUAAACACAAAUUAUAAAGUUUAUUUCGUUGUCAAAAAUCAUGCUGACGAGAUGGCGAUCAAAUCCAAAUGGCCACCAAAUUGAAGAAAGCUGUCAUAUACAUGCCCAAUUUCGAAUUCUAUCAAAGGUAUACAGAUUUUUCUGUUAAGAGUAAUUAAAAGACAAUUUAUAAUCAAGCUAGCUGUUAUAUAUUUACCAUUGAGUAAAGGGAGAAAACCCUUUAAGAAAUGUAAGAUGUAUGCAUAUGAUUUACUCAAGGGCACUUACGACCUUAUAUGUAAAUAGACUUCUCUGGAAUAUUCUAGAAUAGAGAUGUGUCAUAAUAUUUUGCUUCCAAGUAUCUAUUGACAAGUGGUUGUUUGCAAGAAGUGUGUUAAAGAUUUCUAGAAAAGAGAUGGUUUGAAAAUGUAUUUGAAAGAUUUGGCAAUAAAGUAUAAAUGCCAGGAGCGACACAUUGCUGGUCUACAACUGUUAAGGAGAGCUGUGUGAAUUCUGUUGGAUUAUUAAUUGCAUGGAACAGUGAACUGUUGGAUUAAAAAACAUUCUUUAUUCUGGAGCCACGGACUGGAAAGGAUUACUCAAGGACAGCUGUUAUAAGCUAAGUCAUUAACAGUGUUGACUUAAUAACCACCUUGUACACCACUUAAUUGUAAUUGCGAAUUAUCUCUGUAACUUGAUUAGUUUUGUAUAUAUCAUUAAAAAUUUGAAGUUA